UGAUGGAGGUGGAUAUGUAUAAGGGUAAGGAGACAGGGAUACUGGAGUGAUGGAGGUGGAUAUGUAUAAGGGUAAGGAGACAGGGAUACUGGAGUGAUGGAGGUGGAUAUGUAUAAGGGUAAGGAGACAGGGAUACUGGAGUGAUGGAGGUAGAUAUGUAUAAGGGUAAGGAGACAGGGAUACUGGAGUGAUGGAGGUAGAUAUGUAUAAGGGUAAGGAGACAGGGAUACUGGAGUGAUGGAGGUGGAUAUGUAUAAGGGUAAGGAGACAGGGAUACUGGAGUGAUGGAGGUGGAUAUGUAUAAGGGUAAGGAGACAGGGAUACUGGAGUGAUGGAGGUGGAUAUGUAUAAGGGUAAGGAGACAGGGAUACUGGAGUGAUGGAGGUGGAUAUGUAUAAGGGUAAGGAGACAGGGAUACUGGAGUGAUGGAGGUGGAUAUGUAUAAGGGUAAGGAGACAGGGAUACUGGAGUGAUGGAGGUAGAUAUGUAUAAGGGUAAGGAGACAGGGAUACUGGAGUGAUGG